UACAGAGGGGGCAAGCGUUGUUCGGAAUCAUUGGGCGUAAAGCGCGUGUAGGCGGCCCGGUAAGUCCGCUGUGAAAGUCCAGGGCUCAACCCUGGGAUGCCGGUGGAUACUGUCGGGCUCGAGUCCGGAAGAGGCGAGUGGAAUUCCUGGUGUAGCGGUGAAAUGCGCAGAUAUCAGGAGGAACACCAAUGGCGAAGGCAGCUCGCUGGGACGUGACUGACGCUGAGACGCGAAAGCGUGGGGAGCAAACAGG
rnacentral:rRNA from 1 species